CGAAGUGACAGGGGAAGGGGAGGGGUGCUAGGGGGGUUGGAUGCAGAGUGACAGGGGAAAGGGAGUGGGGUUUAGCGGGGAGGGGUCAUUUGGGGAGAUGGGGAAGGGGAGGCGGUAAGAGGUGCUAGGGGGAUUGGAUGAGGAGUGAGGGGGGAAGGUGACAGGGUUCAAGGGGGAGGCACUUGGGGAGGGAUGGGGUGGGGUAGAUGGUGGCCCAGGGCUGCAGGAUAGGGGAGAAUUGGUGGCCCAUCCAAGUCCCCCCAUUCCCAUCCAGGGCAUCACCUCAUUCCACUGCCCCUGCUGCCCGGACACCCCUUGGCUCUGGCAGGAGCUGUGCAAACUCGGGCUCUUCUCGGAUGAGGACCAGGCCACUCUGGAGGCCCAAAUCCUGGCACUGGAGGGGGCCAGGGGCAGCUACCGCCCGUGCCCACGCAGCCAGCACCUUGUCCAGCGUCUGGACCCCGGUACCUUGCGCACCCCCUGCCUGCCCUGCUCCCAGCAGGCCGGGGAACUGUAUUGCUUCUGUUGGGGCUGCCGCACGGACUGGAAGGACCCCUUGCCUCAGGGAAAAUCCUGCUCCAAUCCCCAGUGCCCCCUACAGGCUGCACUUUACAACACCCUGGAGAUCCAGGCCCCGGGAUCAUCUGUCCAUGGCUGCCCCUCACUGCGGGCCUGUCCCAAGUGCCACACCUUGGUGAGCCACACUGGGCUAGGCUGCCCCCUGGUGGAGUGCCCAGAGUGCUGGACAGAGUUCUGCUACCGCUGCCUGAGGGAUCAUCUCGGUGAGGAUGCCGAGACAGAGUGGGAGCGUGAUGAAGAUGAAGGCCUGGAUUACAAUAAUUACUUGGAGGCCAGCUGCAGUAUCGCCGGGAGGCAGAAGCUGAACAGGUCCCCUUAACUCAAGGGAGACUCCAGACUCAACCCCUGCUGUGACCCCUGAGAACUCCCCUCCUGCCUCCCCAAAGCCAGAUCCCACCCCAUCACACUCAGCCCUGCUCCCAGGUUUGGGGACCCCCAGAGGCCCAACCCCCACUCCUUGCUCAAAGGAUGCCAGGGGCAGUGCACUGGCUCCUGGGUAUCGAGGUGCAGGGAGGAGUAAUGCCUCUGCCAGAGAUAGGGGUGCAGGCACCUGUGACAAAAUGGGGAAUUUCCCUCCUUAUGUUGUGAGUCUUAUGUGAGUUUUACUGUUUUGCAUGAAUACUAUGUGUGCCUCAGUUUCUCUGUGUGCUGCACCAAUACCUUGGUGGUGGGAAUAGAUGUGUGUGACUUCGGCUGAGACCUCUGGGGCAGGUGAAGCUGCUCCAGCCUGCAUAUAUGCUAUGACCCCGUGCCCUUCGUAACCUGAGACCCAAGAGGGGAGUGCAACCAGGUGAUGGGCAAGUGACUGCCCCGGAAGCGAGACAAAGAAGAAGAGGAGAAGCAAGCUGGGUAGUUUGCUUCGGGGGCUGGAAGAGGGGGAGUCCGGGCCAUCUGGCCUAGGACUCCCCAAGAUGGACUUUGCUGAAAGUCACUGAUUUCUGUGCUAACAAGUUGUGUUCUAUCCACUGCAUUCCUGUCAACUAAUAAACCUUCUGUUUCACCGGCUGGUUGACA
ensembl:lncRNA